rnacentral:rRNA from 1 species
AUUGAACGCUGGCGGCAGGCCUAACACAUGCAAGUCGAACGAGUGGCGGACGGGUGAGUAAUGUCUGGGAAACUGCCCGAUGGAGGGGGAUACCUACUGGAAACGGUAGCUAAUACGGCAUACCAUCGGAUUUGCACAGAUGGGAUUAGCUAGUAGGUGUGGUAAGGGCUCACCUAGGCGACGAUCCCUAGCUGGUCGGAGAGGAUGACCAGCCACACUGGAACUGAGACACGGUCCAGACUCCUACGGGAGGCAGCAGUGGGGAAUAUUGCACAAUGGGCGCAAGCCUGAUGCAGCCAUGCCGCGUGUAUGAAGAAGGCCUUCGGGUUGUAAAGUACUUUCAGCGAGGAGGCGUUACUCGCAGAAGAAGCACCGGCUAACUCCGUGCCAGCAGCCGCGGUAAUAC